ensembl:lncRNA LINC00343 long intergenic non-protein coding RNA 343
ACUCUGGUGGAAGUGUGAAUGAAUUUGAAAGGGGUGUAACACUGUUCUACUUUGUUUACUCCUCAGUACCCUUGGCUGUGUACAUUUGAGUAAAGAGAGCACUAUAAAAUCAAAAACCAAUGAAAUGGUUUCCAGAACACAGAACUAUUAAGCUUAAGAAAAGGACAGAAGGAACUGAAGAGAGAGGAACUGUUUUGGAGCAUCACACUUCCACCUCAGAAGAAAUAAGGAAGGAAGGAGGAGGGUGUUCCCACGGCUCUUCAACCAGGCCGGCUCUUCAGCCUACAUCCCCAUCUCAUCAAGUAAAAGGGAUUUUUCAACUGGACCAACCAGAUGGUUUAACAGUGCACUCCCACACCAUUCAACUACGCAAGGGAGAUACACUUAACAUAUGCAGUCGUAUAACACCUACUAACAUUUUCAAACAUUAAACCUUUAAAAAAGAGUUCUAAAGAAAUAGAAGCUUGAAGUAUCAUCUCUCAAGUAUAUAGACACUACUUCAUGGUGUGGUAAUAUAUGCAUAUAGAAGCUAGUAAACACCUCCAGGAGAUGCAAAAGGAAUUAGAACUGCCACAAGGUGCAAGCAAAACCUUGAGGUAAUCAAUCUGCAUCCCAUUUUGGAUGAGAAUAUUUGCAACUUUGAAGGUUAUUUUAAGGACAGCAGCAGAAGAAUUAUGGCAGCUCUUCACGGAAAAAAAAAUGGCAACAAUAAAAUCAGCAACUCCUGCCAAAUAAAUGGGCAUAAAAAAGAAAUCAUAGACUGCUGGCAAUGGUGGGGAAAAAGUUAUAAAAAUUGUCUCUGCACCAUCUUCCUUUUGUCCUCUAAAAUAUUCACAUUAGCAAAAGUAUAUAACAGCUGAUGAAGAAAUACUGAUAAUUUGUCUUUUUCUGUUUUUCCUCUUCUAAUCCUUCACCCAUCUGAGCUAAAGUCUAGACCUAAGGAGGCUACUAAUUCAGGGAUCGAGUAAUCUGCCAAGCAAGAGUUUAUUCAAGCACAGUUUGAAAUAAAGGUUUCAAAUGCAUAGCCUGUCGAUACUUUGGAAGGAUUCUCAUCAUAACGAGAUAUGGGAGGACACCUGAGACGGCAGGCCAGAAGUCACUCAGUAGGAGAAACAUCCGUUAGAAGUAAUAAUGUGGGAUUGCUGAAGUAAAGACUAUAGGAAGAAAAAAGUGUCUGUGUGUAGGAAACGGAAAGGGAGAGAAAAAUACACUGAGAUGGUAAAGUAAGGAAGUGGAAGAUCAGCAGAAUGUGCAGAUGCCAAGCCAUCCAAGAAAAUCAUCUCUUGUGAUUGUUGCGAAGUCAACUAGCUAAUGUGACUCACUGCUAGGCUGUUGGAUCUGAGACUUAUGUGGGAUAAUUUAGAAACUUGCUAGUGUCUUAAGAUCAAUUACUCACCAAUGAGAGUGGCAUUGAACUGUGAAUGUUCCUCCUAGAUUUUCCAUGAAGACUAAUGGUUUUGUCUUGUCUUGAAUUUGUUUUAAUUACAAUUUGUAUACAUCCUGUUCCACCCUGAAAUUUUUAUUUUCCAAAUGGUUUUUCAUUUAAAGAGACUAAAUAAAGGUUCUGACUGAGUUGUACUUGUGGGAACUCCAAAAUCUUUUUAUAGGAAGCUAUUUUCAUCAAAUAGUGUUGAGAAUCAAGUUUCCAGUUGGAGAAAAUAACAGAGACAUGCAAAUUCAGGAUGUAGCUGUACAGCAAUGUUAGUGAAGAGAGAAAAUUUUGAGUCAUUUAGACAUUAACCAUUAAGCAUCUGGAUUUUUU